GGUGGCUAAUGCCGAGAGAGCGUCUGAGCGCCUCAGAGCUUGAAAGUCCCUUUUGUUCCCGGCGGUUGAGGUAGGCAGAGAGUGGCUGUGAUUGAGACGUCACUUCCUGUGAAAGACUUUGAAAUCCCACCCGAAAGGGGUAUUGUGAGUUUCUCAGUUCUCACCAAGAACGUGAACUUGGAAGGGUCUGAACCUGGGGAUGUGAACUCAGAUCUGACUGAACGGCUACCUUGCAAAUACUCAUAGUUGAAGGCAAGUGCAGAAGGAAGUAAACUGAUUCAACAAUUGUGAAAAUGCACAGGGAGGAUAGAUGUGUGGAAGAAUCAUGCCCAAACCUAUUCUAAUGAUUGUGGAUCGACUCCCAAGAAAGUCACAGAUCUCAAAAACCUGUGCAAAUAAAAAAGCCUUGCAAUAAAUCAUGAAGAUUCUUGGACUCCGUGGAAGCUACCUUUUGUCAAGAGACUGAAAAUGGAUUCAGAUACAUGGAGAUGCAGAGGAAACAGAAGAACAAUAGCAGCAGUUUGGUUAACUGUCCCCCAAUCAUUUGGAUAUCAAAACCAGAGGUGCUCAGUACUGGAAAGCAGGGAUAGGCUCAGAACUGUUUCUUGUACUAGACAUGCCCCAGGUUAAGAGCCAUCCCUUCAGCUGACUGAGCCUUUGACUACACUGUGCCUUUUAAUGCCUACUCAUGGACAUUUUCUGGAAAAUGUGAAAUUUGACAUUUGAAUAUUCUAUUUUAAAGUAUGUUCAUUCUAUCAAAAGAGGUCAUUUUCUUAAUUUCUUUUUUUAAAAAAAUUGUCCGCAGUAUUUCCUUUGGCAUCUCACUAGGAAACAACCAAAUAGAAUCAAUCUAUGACCAUAUUCAAGGUUAAUAUUUAUAGAAAACCUUUUAUUUAGUGGUCUGGAACAAAUGAAUAUUUGACCCAUCCUAAUCUGGUUAGGAUUUCAGGGAGAUGAGAGUCCACCCGACUGGAACAUUGGGUUGUUGAGCUUUGAAACUCAUUAAUCAUAUUGUCAGUAUUAUGUGGUGCAAAGAAGUUCUUAUAAUGAAUUCUGGGAUAAUGGAUGCCAUGAAUUAUUUGCAGUGUACUUUGCUUUAAAACUUAGUUUCAAAGGGUAGUUGUGCUGGUCUGCAAUAAAAGAGCAAGGUUCGUGUACAGUAGCACCUUUGAGGCCUGCAAGAUUUUUGGGGUAUAAACGUUUGAGAGUCAAAGCUGCCUUUGUCAGAUGCUUUAAAACUUUUAAUUUGUUUGGUGUAAAGGUAACAACAGUGCCGUUAAAGAAAUGAUAACAGAUCGAAAGUAGUAAAAACUUCUAUUUUGCAACACAUCUAGGAUUUAUGGGUUGUCAUAUUAAAAAGUAUUUUCUAAAAUUCAAAUAGAUGUCUAGGUUGAGUAAAUAACUCUGACAUUUCUGCCUUGGGAGCUAGUGGCAAGUUUUGAAACCCAUAUUUUCUCUGGCUACACUGUGGGAACUUCCUAAUGCUUGUAACAUUCUGGCCCUUUCUGCUGAUGACAGGAGAAGUUAUAAAAUGCCCAGGGAAGUUCCCAUUUAAGUCUAACAUUGUAGUAUUCCUACAUCACAUCGCCUUGCUCUUGAAGAAAGAAUGAAGACUGGUAUUUAUGUUCAUGUAACACAACUUAGAUUCUUGAAGAUAUGCUAGAUGUUUGUGCUGGGAGUUAUAGAUGACCAAUUAAAUUCUACUGAGAAAAGGACAAGGGAAAAUCAGAUGGCACUCAUUUAUUCACUCAGUUACAGCAUACACUUUAGCCAAUGUAGGUCAAAGUACCGGGUUUAGACUGAAGUUCCCAAACACAAAUAACACCACAAAAGUAUAAUUAAUAAGGUUAUCCCUUUCUGAAUAUUGGGAAGAUGCCAGGAUGACUUUGAUAUGUUAAAAUAAGAAAAUGGGAUUUUUAUAGUCAGCUUUACAUGUGUGUUGCCAGGAUGUUUUGACUUAUGGGAACCCUUUGAAAUAAUGACCUUUUAAACAUCCUAUCAUUAACAGCCUUGCUCAGUUCUUGCAAACUGAAGGCUGUGGCCUCCUUUAUUGAGUCAGUUCACCUCAUGUUGGGUCUUCCUCUUUUUCCUCUUUUUCCUAGCCUAUUAUUCAGAGAGAAUUUUAGAAAGAGUUUUAGCCCUGAAUGACAAGAGUUGCCAUUUGUUGGUCAUCUUCAGAAUUUCCAAAGUAUUCUAGGUGGUAUUUUAGAUAAAAUCUGGAAGUCUGUUCUGUGCCAGAGAUGAAAACAAAAUUGUGUUGGUUGACUGGACUUCUGAUAUCUUUGUAUAAUUUCCAUUUCCAAGCCUCCAAGGUUGGCAGACUGAAGAAGUAUGGUUUGGUGUUACAUCAGUUUGCAUUUUCUUUGGAUUUUUAAGCCACUUGUUACCUUGAACUACCAUAUAUACUCGCAUAUAAGUCUAAUUUUUCAGCACAUUUUUUGUGCUGAAAAAGCCCCCCUCAAU